rnacentral:rRNA from 1 species
GACGAACGCUGGCGGCGUGCCUAAUACAUGCAAGUCGAGCGGACGAAUCGAAAGCUUGCUUUUGAUUCGUUAGCGGCGGACGGGUGAGUAACACGUGGGCAACCUGCCCUGUAGACGGGGAUAACACCGAGAAAUCGGUGCUAAUACCGGAUAACACGAAAUGUCGCAUGACGUUUCGUUGAAAGACGGCGCAAGCUGCCGCUACAGGAUGGGCCCGCGGCGCAUUAGCUAGUUGGUGGGGUAACGGCUCACCAAGGCGACGAUACGUAGCCGACCUGAGAGGGUGAUCGGCCACACUGGGACUGAGACACGGCCCAGACUCCUACGGGAGGCAGCAGUAGGGAAUCUUCCGCAAUGGACGAAAGUCUGACGGAGCAACGCCGCGUGAGCGAAGAAGGCCUUCGGGUCGUAAAGCUCUGUUGUUAGGGAAGAACAAGUAACGCAGUAACUGGCGUUACCGUGACGGUACCUAACGAGAAAGCCACGGCUAACUACGUG